rnacentral:rRNA from 1 species
GACGAACGCUGGCGGCGUGCUUAACACAUGCAAGUCGAACGGUGAAGCGCUUGCCUUUUUGGUGGGUGUGGAUGAGUGGCGAACGGGUGAGUAACACGUGAGUAACCUGCCCUCUUCUUCUGGAUAACCUCAUGAAAGUGGGGCUAAUACGGGGUAUUCCGGGUCUGUCGCAUGGCGGGUUUGGGAAAGAUUGCGCCUUUGGGUGGUUUCGGUGGGGGAUGGGCUCGCGGCCUAUCAGCUUGUUGGUGGGGUGAUGGCCUACCAAGGCGGUGACGGGUAGCCGGCCUGAGAGGGUGGACGGCCACACUGGGACUGAGACACGGCCCAGACUCCUGCGGGAGGCAGCAGUGGGGAAUAUUGCACAAUGGGCGCAAGCCUGAUGCAGCGACGCCGCGUGAGGGAUGGAGGCCUUCGGGUUGUAAACCUCUUUCAGUAGGGAAGAAGCGAAAGUGACGGUACCUGCAGAAGAAGCACCGGCUAACUACGUG